CGUCCCAGCUCCUUGUUCAAGUGAAAAUCAGCCGGCUCUGAAUGAUAGGAGGCGGUUUGUCACCUGUGUGUUGUGUGAAUAAGUGUCUUUGCCGAAGCUAUAGUUUUCUUUUCUUCUUCUUUUUAUUUCGUUGUAUUAUUUUUUGUGUGAUUUAGAAGGCCUCAAUGUUGUCGGUUUACUCCAAAGAAGAUUGGUUAAAGUACUGGCAUGUCUACUCCAAAAGUGGCGCGAAGAACUAGGCCGUUAACGUACUACACAAAUUUCCAGCAACGAAGAAUCCAUGAGCAUGCAGCUGGCUUUGAAAUGAAGGUUUAGUAUGAAGGUAGGCCAGCCACAACAAAGGAGCCAGUAGCUGCAUUUUUGGUGAAGCCUUCAGAGGGUGAAUGAGUAAAUAGACCAAAACUGGAAUGUCAUGGCCACCACGGAUGGAAGCUUCACAUGUUAAGUGGUACUUUAUUAGACUAGUUGUCGAUGUAGAGCCUUUUAGCCUCAUUCAAGCUGGAUAUCUACGGUAUUCAAGGCUGUGUAUGACAUAAGAUGGUGCAAGAUUUUUAUAAAAUGGACCAUUAGACAGCGAUGUGCAGCAGCAGGUUGUCCUAUCAGACUGGAGUAUCCGAAUUAGCUGGUCGUCAAUGGUGUAUUUACUGAGGAAUUGGGAAGCACAUGGUGGUUGGUUGAAUGAAGGAGCACUUGCUUGGACGACAGCCAUAUUUUGCUUGAUCCGAUACUUCAUGGUAUUCCAAAAAAGUCAGGGAGGUUGGAGUUUAAUAUAAAGGAAAGUGUGACCGGUUUUUAGUGAACCUUAGUCAUUGAGAUUAGGAGACACGGGUAUAAGAUCAUGUAAAGAAUCCCAAGAAUCAAGAAUGCAAGAAUCCAGUCUUAAGGAGAAUGCAAGAAUCCAGUCUGAAGGAGAAUGCAAGAAUUCAAGAAUAGAAUAAUUCAGUCUUAAGAAGAAUCCAGUCUACAGGAGAGAAGGGGAUGCAUUGAAGAGAAUCCAGUCCCAAGCAGAAUUAUCUAGUCCCAGGGAGGAGAAAUUAAGUUACAGGAGAGAAGGGGAUGAAUUAAAGAGAAUCCAGUCUCAAGAAGAAAUCCAGUCUACAGGAGAGAAGGGGAUGAAUUAAAGGGAAUCCAGUCUACAGGAGAGAUGAAUUAGAGAAUCCAGUCCCAAGAAGUAUCUACAGGAGAGAAGGGAAUUUAAGAGAAUCUAGUCUCAUAGGGAUAUGAAUUGAAUAAAAAAAAAACCUGGCGAGAUAAGGGAUUAUGGAAAAUAGUUUUAAAAUAACCAUUUUAUUCUUCUCUCGCCUGGGUUUGUUUUAAAGUAAACCCAGGUGAGAGAAGAAGAAUAUGGUUGUAAUAUUGUUUUAUUUUCCAAUUUUCCUCAAUUUGUAUGCCACAUUUUUACCUUAGAAUAGAACUGAUGGUUUGGUUUGUCGUAUUAAAUCUUAUUAAUCUGGGAAUUCUUAAAAUAGUUGUUAGGACACCCCUUCCUUUUUUAUGCUGGCAUACCACGAUCAUUAGUUUUUCUUCACCUUUUCUUUAUCACGUCUCCUAGAAGUCUCUCGUCUUCAUGAAGUAAGGAACCUCCCCUAAUUCUCCUGUCUACAUGAAGUAGUUCUUUAAUUGUUAACAUUUAUGUAGGAAUAUCGCCUCUUCAGUGUAAGAUGAACAUUUUCCUUAUCCAACCCCCCACCCCUUUUUUUUUUUUGCUCGCAUGGUGUUAGAACACCACCUCUGGUUUUUUGAUGUUGGAUUACCACCACCUCUUGAUUUUGGAAUGUCACAUGUCUAUCACGUCGUCUGGAAGUUAAACCACCACCACCUCCAAGUUUAAAUAUCACCACCAUUACGUAAGAAGAUCUCCUUUCUGUCCAUGUCUUGAUGUUGGAAUGCUAUCACCUCUUGAUAUUUCUAGUUCCUACAAAUGUUAAAUUGUUCCGACACGGCAUACAAACCUUCGGUCCUUUUACAAUAGGAAGGUACUAGCGGCAGCUGGAUAGGUCGUAAGCUUUCGAACAAGGGGUUCGGUAG